GCAAGAAACCCAGCUCUACCGCCUAAAACCAACGCAACAACUUUAUUUAACAAAACAAAACAUUUUAAGCACCCAGUAAAGGCGAUUAAAAAGUGUCUAAGAGCCCUAGAAACAGUACCGCAAGGGAACGGUGAAAUAGAAAUGAAAUAAUUUUAAAGCACCAAUAAAGCAGAGACUAAACCUCGUACCUUUCGCAUCAUGGUCUAGCUAGUCUAAUCAAGCAAAAAGAAAUUUAAGUUUGACCCCCCGAAACUAAGUGAGCUACUUCAAAACAGCCUAAAGAGCCAACCCGUCUCUGUUGCAAAAGAGUUAAUCGUUAUCUAUUACAAAUUCUCCCAACACAUCAAAUCCCCCCCUCCCCACUGAAUGAUUCUAUAAUAUACAUAGAAAACUGUCUGCUAGAACUAGUAAUAAGAAGAAGACCUUCUCCUAAAUAUAAGUGUGAGCCAGAAUGAACAACUCACUGGCAUAUAACGCAACUGAAUCAAUAGUAGCAACUACACAAGAAAACCCUACCAAAACACGCGUCAACCUUACACCAGCAUAUUACAGGAAAGAUUAAAAGAGAAGGAAGGAACUCGGCAAACUACUUACCCCGCCUGUUUACCAAAAACAUCGCCUUUUGAAAUAAGUAUAAAAGGUCCAGCCUGCCCAGUGACUAAAUUAAACGGCCGCGGUACCAUAACCGUGCAAAGGUAGCGCAAUCACUUGUCCUUUAAAUAAGGACUAGUAUGAACGGCAUCACGAGGGUUAUACUGUCUCCCUCCUCCAAUCAAUGAAACUGACCUCCCCGUGAAGAGGCGGGGAUAAUUAUAUAAGACGAGAAGACCCCAUGGAGCUUAAAACUCAGAACCAACUACCCAAUCUCACCCCAUCAUUAGCCGGGUAACCUCUGGUUUCUAGUUUUCGGUUGGGGCGACCACGGAGUAAAACAAAACCUCCACGAUGAAUGAACCAACUUUCCUAAUCACAGAGCAACAGCUCAAAGAAUCAAAAAAUUGACAUAAUUGACCCAAUUAAUUUUGAUCAACGAACUAAGUUACCCUGGGGAUAACAGCGCAAUCCACUUCAAGAGCCCCUAUCGACAAGUGGGUUUACGACCUCGAUGUUGGAUCAGGGUAUCCUAGUGGUGCAGCCGCUACUAACGGUUCGUUGUUCAACGAUAAAAC
rnacentral:rRNA from 1 species